GAGUAAAUUCUUAUUUAUUUAUUAAGUUUUGAUUUAAUUAAUAGAAAUAACUUUUAUUUAAGUAAAUUUUAUUGAAAAAAUGAAUUAUUAUUAUAGUUAAAUGUACUGUGAAGGACAGGUAUUAUUUCAUUUAAAAGUAAUCAUGAUUUGAUGUACCUUUUGUAUCAGGGUUAAUUAAUUUACUUUAUUUAUUAUAAGUUUCCCGAAAUUAGGAGGACUAUAAUUAUAUGUUAGUUAAUGUAUCAAAAUUAUUAAUAAUUUAAUUAUAGUAAUGAUAUGUUAUUCGUUCCUAAAUAUCUGGUUUUCUUGGAAUUAAAUUUAAUUUAGGAUCUUUAUUAGUUAAAGAUAACUUUUUUUCUUUUGUUUAUAAGAUCUAAUAUUCUUGGGGAUAAGCUCGGGGGUAAUUAUAUAAGUUUAAUGUAUUAUUAGGAAUUAUGUAGGCUUAAAAUCAGCCAUCAUUUAUUUCGUUAUAGAGGACUUUCUUAAAGUGUUUAUUUAGUUAUUCUUUAUUUUUUUACAAGAAUGAUCAAAUUAACUAUUAAUUUGAUGUAAUAAUGAUUAAAUUAGUAUUUUAGUGAAUUAAAUUAUAGGAACUCGGCAAAUUUAGUGUUCGCCUGUUUAACAAAAACAUGUCCUUUUGUUUUAUUUAUUUAAGGUCUGACCUGCCCAAUGAGGAAUUGAAUGGCCGCAGUAUUCUAACUGUGCUAAGGUAGCAUAAUCAUUUGUCUUUUAAUUGAGGGCUGGAAUGAAGGGUUGGACGAAAUAUUAACUUUCUUUAGUUUAAUUUUAUGAAUUUAAUUUUUGAGUCAAAAAGCUUAAAUUAACUUAUAGGACGAGAAGACCCUAUAGAUCUUUAUAAUUUUAUAUUUUAGUAAUUUAGGGAUUGUUUUACUUGAAGUAGAAGAAUUAUUUUGUUGGGGUGACUGUAGAAUUUAAUAAACUUCUAUUUAUUUAUUUCAUUAAUUAGUGUUUCUUUGAUCCAUAUAUUAUGAUUAUAAGAUUAAGUUACCUUAGGGAUAACAGCGUAAUUUCUUCGGAGAGUUCAUAUUGAUGAAGGAGUUUGCGACCUCGAUGUUGGAUUAAAAUAAGUCAUAGAUGCAGGAGUCUAUUUACUAGGUCUGUUCGACCUUUAAUUUUUUACAUGAUCUGAGUUCAGACCGGCGUAAGCCAGGUCAGUUUCUAUCCUUAAUUUGAAUACACACUUUAGUACGAAAGGACCGGGUGUGUGGAAUAAUUUUUAUGUUUUUGAUUAAUAUU
rnacentral:rRNA from 1 species